GGACGGGUGAGUAACGCGUAGGACUCUGCCUGAUAGAGGGGGACAACCUGGGGAAACUCAGGCUAAUACCGCAUAAUGUCGCGAGUGGAAAGGGGGGGAUCUUCGGACCUCGCGCUAUGAGAGGAGCCUACGUCCGAUUAGCCAGUUGGUAGGGUAAAGGCCUACCAAAGCGACGAUCGGUAGCUGGUCUGAGAGGAUGAUCCGUCACACUGGCACUGGAACACGGGCCAGACUCCUACGGGAGGCAGCAGUGAGGAAUAUUGCGCAAUGGGGGGAACCCUGACGCAGCGACGCCGCGUGGGUGAGGAAGGCUUUCGGGUCGUAAAACCCUGUCAGGAGGGAAGAAGUGCUUGCAGGCUAAUACCUUGUAAGUUUGACGGUACCUUCAAAGGAAGCACCGGCUAACUCCGUGCCAGCAGCCGCGGUAAUACGGAGGGUGCAAGCGUUGUUCGGAAUCACUGGGCGUAAAGGGCGCGUAGGCGGCUUGGCAAGUCAGAUGUGAAAGCCCACGGCUUAACCGUGGAAGUGCAUUUGAAACUGCUUGGCUUGAGUAUCAGAGGGGAAAGUGGAAUUCCCGGUGUAGAGGUGAAAUUCGUAGAUAUCGGGAGGAAUACCGGUGGCGAAGGCGACUUUCUGGCUGAAUACUGACGCUGAGGCGCGAAAGCGUGGGGAGCAAACAGGAUUAGAUACCCUGGUAGUCCACGCCGUAAACGAUGUCAACUAGGUGCAGGGGGUGUUGAUCCCCUCUGUGUCGCAGCUAACGCAUUAAGUUGACCGCCUGGGGAGUACGGUCGCAAGAUUAAAACUCAAAGGAAUUGACGGGGGCCCGCACAAGCGGUGGAGUAUGUGGUUUAAUUCGAUGCAACGCGAAGAACCUUACCUGGUCUUGACAUCCCGAAGAUCUCCUGGAAACAGGAGAGUGCUCUCUUUGAGAGAAUUUGGUGACAGGUGCUGCAUGGCUGUCGUCAGCUCGUGUCGUGAGGUGUUGGGCUAAGUCCCGCAACGAGCGCAACCCUCGCCAUUAGUUGCCAGCAUUAAGUUGGGCACUCUAAUGGGACUGCCGGUGUCAAACCGGAGGAAGGCGGGGAUGACGUCAAGUCCUCAUGGCCUUUAUGACCAGGGCUACACACGUACUACAAUGGCCGGUACAACGGGCUGCCACUUCGCGAGAAGGCGCAAAUCCCUAAAAGCCGGUCUCAGUCCGGAUUGGAGUCUGCAACUCGACUCCAUGAAGUUGGAAUCGCUAGUAAUCGUGGAUCAGCAUGCCACGGUGAAUACGUUCCCGGGCCUUGUACAC
rnacentral:rRNA from 1 species